GGCGGCGUGCCUAAUACAUGCAAGUCGAGCGGAAAUUGAGGAAGCUUGCUUCUUGAUUUCAGCGGCGGACGGGUGAGUAACACGUAGGUAACCUGCCCGACAGAACGGGAUAACAUGCGGAAACGGAUGCUAAUACCGGAUAAGCGAAUUCCUCGCAUGAGGGAAUCGGGAAAGGCGGAGCAAUCUGCCGCUGUCGGAUGGACCUGCGUCGCAUUAGGCUAGUUGGGGAGGUAACGGCUCCCCAAGGCGACGAUGCGUAGCCGACCUGAGAGGGUGAUCGGCCACACUGGGACUGAGACACGGCCCAGACUCCUACGGGAGGCAGCAGUAGGGAAUCUUCCGCAAUGGACGAAAGUCUGACGGAGCAACGCCGCGUGAGUGAAGAAGGUUCUCGGAUCGUAAAGCUCUGUUGCCAGGGAAGAACGCUUGGAAGAGUAACUGCUUUCAAGGUGACGGUACCUGAGAAGAAAGCCCCGGCUAACUACGUGCCAGCCGCCGC
rnacentral:rRNA from 1 species